rnacentral:rRNA from 1 species
GUUUGAUCCUGGCUCAGAUUGAACGCUGGCGGCAUGCUUUACACAUGCAAGUCGAACGGUAGAGGGGGCAACCCCUUGAGAGUGGCGAACGGGUGAGUAAUGCAUCGGAACGUGCCCAGUCGUGGGGGAUAACUACUCGAAAGAGUGGCUAAUACCGCAUACGACCUGAGGGUGAAAGCGGGGGACCGAAAGGCCUCGCGCGAUUGGAGCGGCCGAUGUCAGAUUAGGUAGUUGGUGGGGUAAAGGCCUACCAAGCCUGCGAUCUGUAGCUGGUCUGAGAGGACGACCAGCCACACUGGGACUGAGACACGGCCCAGACUCCUACGGGAGGCAGCAGUGGGGAAUUUUGGACAAUGGGCGGCAAGCCUGAUCCAGCCAUGCCGCGUGCGGGAAGAAGGCCU